GUACGACCUCGGACCCCGCCUCAGCGGAUGAGGGGUGCUGAGCGGUCAUUGGUGAUGGUGGGACGAAGCUUGACAGUGGCAAAAGGAUUUGUGCCCCUGUAGGAGGAGAGAGAGAAUGGGGGUCUCACAGUGUUGCUCAAGCUGAUGUUGAACUGUUGGAAUCAAGAGAUCCUCCUGCCCCAGUCUCCCUAGUAGCUGGGACUACAAGUGUGUGCCGCCGCACCUGCCACCCUCCUCACUGUUUGGGCCCCCAUGUGAGGACUCACCUCGGGAAGAGCUCCUGUGGCUAUGUGAGUCAAGGAUGGAACGAUGGUCCCAGAACAUCCCAGGAGGGUGUGACAGCCUCCAUCUAGAAGGUUCUAUCCUCAGGUCCCCAAGGCAUCUGCAGCACACCGUCCUCUGCUGUGGGUCUGUGAAGCAGCCACUCCAGCAGCAGGACAGUGGUGCCUGUCCAUUCCCUCUGCUAGCUGCCAGCCCUGCUGUCCUCCGCACUUUCUGGCAACCUCACUGUAUGAAACUCCCCAAAUCCUCCUCCACGUCAAGUGUCAAAACAGCCCAGUUUAAGUGCUUUCAGGAUUUCCACGGAGCCUGACCGCAAAGAGCAGCACGCGGUUCUGGAGCAUCCCCCGGGCCUGGCCGGGCGGGGACACGGGGGUCAGCCAGGUCCGGGCGGCUCCCUGAAUCCUGGGGACCCAAAAUGACACCCUCGACCUGAGAGCUCAGGCCCUACCAGCUCGGGACGACCGGAUUUUCUAGCUGGAAGGAGCCAGAAGCCAGCUCACCGUCCAACCCGCACCCUCUACUUUUGGCAAAGGCACCUCCAUUUUCCACGAAGAGCUUCCUCUGACCCCCCGCUUCCCGCGUCAAUGUGUGUGCUUUGAGCGGGGCUGUCCUCACCGCCCAGCUUCAGGGGUAGGGGUGGCACCCAGGCCUGGCCACUCAAUCACCCCAUCCUCCUUCCUGCAGCGAUAGGCUCAGGAAUGGCGCUUAGAUAGAAACUACGACCAAAGAACCCAGUCCCAUUACUUACUUACCCAGUAACACUAUGGAAAAUGCAUUUUUUUUUUUUUUUUUUUUUUUUUUUUUUAGACGGAGUCUGGCUCUGUCGCCCAGGCUGGAGUGCAAUGGCGCGAUCUCGGCUCACUGCAAGCUCCGCCUCCCGGGUUCAUGCCAUUCUCCUUCCUCAGCCUCCCGAGUAGCUGGGAUUACAGGCGCCUGCCACCAUGCCCAGCUAAUUUUUGUAUUUUUAGUAGAGACGGGGUUUCACCAUGUUGGCCAGGCUGGUCUCAAACUCCUGACCUCAGGUGAUCUGCCUGCCCUCGGACUCCCAAAGUGCUGGGAUUACAGGCGUGAGCCACCGAGCCUGGCCUAAAACUUCUUUCAAUGGCACUGACCUUUCUGUGUUGUCACUCAGUCAUAAUAAAAUCCCAGGUACAAUCAGAAUGCUGCAUUCUCCAGCCAUAAAGAUCGCUCCCUCUUUUCAAACAUCCCUGUCCCUCAAGGCCUAGCUCAAGACGGUCACCUUAAGAAAAGCUCCCUUUGUCGAGCAGUGACUCCAUACCAGGCCCUGCUUUAAACGCUUUAUCUGCAUUAUCUUACUUGAUUCUCGCAAUAGCCCUGGGUGGUAGGUGCAAUUAUUAUCUCCAGUUUAUAAAAGAAGAUACUGAGGGUCAGAGAAGUUAAGUGACUGGCUCAAGGUGUCACAUUCAGUAAGCGUUGAAGGGGUCUGUGUUGGUCUGUCCUUGAAGAUGCCCCCUACGACUACACUUUCAAUGAUUUCUGCCUUGAACCUGGCCCCAUGACUAAAAACCUCACGUCAAACUCAGGCAGCAAUAACGGGAAGGCUUGGUGCCUCCCAUCACUGGAGCAACUAGUCUAGCUGGUCACUAAGUGGACAGCCCCUCUGUUUCCCUGCAGUAACUAAUUAGCAGAAUAGCACAAAGAUAAAACCCGAAGGCCUUUGUGCAGAAGUUUCAGAGACAUAAGCAAAGUGAGAGCAUUAGGUUCUGCAUAUCUUUCUUGUUGUUGUUGUUGAGACAGAGUCUCGCUCUGUUGCCCAGGCUGGAGUGCAGUGGCACGAUCUUGGCUCACUGCAACCUCCGCCUCCCGGCUUCAAGUGAUUAUUCUGCCUCAGCUUCCCAAGUAACUGGGACUACAGGCGUGCGCCACCACUCCUGGCUAAUUUUUGUAUUUUUAGUAGAGACAGGGUUUCACCAUAUAGGCCAGGCUGGUCUCAAAGUCCUCAACUCGUGAUCCACCCGCCUUAGCCUCACAAAGUGCUGGGAUUACAGGUGUGAGCCACUGCACCCAGUCACAUGUCGUAUUUUAAAAGGGAUUUAAAAGUAUCAUUGGAUUGUUUGUAACACGAAGGAUAAAUGCUUGAGGGGAUGGAUACCCAUUCUCCAGCAUGUCAUGAUUACACAUUGCAUGCCUGUAUCAAAACACCUCAUGUACCCCAUAAAUAUAUACACCUACUAUGUACCACAAAAAUUAAAAUAAAUGGUGGGUGAGAAGAAACACUGCAUACGGUUUCAAAACCAUCAGAGAGGCCAUGGGAAAAAUUUUAAAAAUAUAUUUACGAAGUGAAACAGCCAUUCUAAGUAUGACACCAAACCCAUAAACUUGAAAAGACCGAUACAUUUUACUAAAUAAAAAUAAUGUUUUUGUAUAGCAAAACCAAUCAUAACACAGGCAAAUGAUAAUGGCAAACUGGCUAUUGUAUUUGCAACUCAUCACCAAGAAAAAGCUGGUUUCAGUAACAUAUCAAGAGCUCCUACAAAUUAAUAAGUGGAUGAAAAGAUACUGGCAUGUCACAGCACAGAAAAUCCAAUGGCUUUGAAACAUGAAAAGAUGUCAAGCUCGCGUUUAAGACAAGUAUGAGGUAAAGCCACACCGAGAUACCAUUUUUACCUUUCUAAUUAGCCAAGAUCAGAAAGUUUGCUCAUACACUGUUGUCAAGGGGUGCAGAAGCACAGAAACUCAUACAUCACUGAUGGAAGUGUAAACUGGUGCAACCAAUGACUAUAUUCUUGGGCUUACCAAUUCCACUUCUAGGAAUUUAUCCUGGAGAUACAUUUGCACAGCUGCAGUAAACGAGAGAAGCUAAGGAUGAGGUGGGAAGGCACGUUACUGACUAGACUUGGACUAAGCAAAGACUAAUUAGCGAAGAUGAAUAAGAAAGACAAUUUACCGUGCCCGGGCACCUAGAGUUCUUUAAAUCUUAUUCUAAGGCUGCCUUCUUUUUUUGAGAGAGAGAGCGAGCCUUGCUCUGUUGCCCAGGCUGGAGUGCAGUGGCGCAAUCUCGGCUCACUGCAACCUCUGCCUCCCGGGUUCAAGCCAUCCUCGUGCCUCAGCCUCCCGAGUAGCUGUGAUUACAGUCAUCCGCCACCAUUCCUGACUAAUUUUUGUAUUUUUAGUAGAGACGGGGUUUCACCAUGUUGGCCAGGCUGGUCUUGAACUCCUGAUCUCAGGUGAUCCACCCACCUCGACCUCCCAAAGUGCUGGGAUUACAGACAUGAGCCACCACGCCCACCCCAAAUGUGCCUUCUACUUAUAAAUAGAACAAGAAGUAAAUAUAUAUGCUUAGCUAUCUUAGGAGUUAGAUCUUGGAUGUUUUAAAGUCCAGCUGGGUCAGACAACAUGUUACUUGCUCCCUAUGUGAUAUGGUUUGGAUAUUUGUCCUCUCUAAAUUUCAUCUUGAAAUCUGACCCCCCAGUGUUGGAGGUGGGAUCUAGUGGGAGGUGAUGGGGGCAGCUCCCUCAUAAAUGGCUUGGUGCUGUACCCCACGGUAAUGAGUGGUAUGAGUUCAUGCAAGAUCUCCUUGUUUAAAAGAUUGCAGUGGCCGGGCGCGGUGGCUCACACCUUAAUUCCAGCACUUUGGGAGGCCGAGGUGGGUGGGUGGAUCACCUGAGGUCAGGAGUUCAAGACCAGCCUGGCCAACAUGGUGAAACCCCGUCUCUACUAAAAAUACAAAAAUUAACGGGCAUGGUGGUGCAUGCCUGUAAUCCCAGCUACUCAGGAGGCUGAGGCAGGAGAAUCGCUUGAACCCAGGAGGUGGAGGUUGCAGUGAGCUGAGAUCAUGCCACUGCACUCCAGCCUGAGCAACAAGAGCAGAACUCCAUCUUAAAAUAAAAAGAAAAAAGAAAGAGUGUGGCACCCCACCGGCUCCCUCUCUGGCCAUGUGAUAUGAACUUCCCCUUUGCCUUCUGCCAUGAUUGUAAGCUUCUAGAGGCUUCGCCAGGAGCAGAUGCGGGCAAUGCACUUCUUGUACAGCCUGCAGAACUGAGAGCCAAAUAAACAUCUUUUAAAAUAAAUUACCCAGCCUCAGGUAUUCCUUUAUAGCAAUGCACAACGGACUAACACACCAUGCAUAGGGGAAAAUCUGCCUGUUCAACCCACAGCUCCCUCCUGAGGGACCCUCACCCACGAGGAGGCAGUCAAGGAGGGGGUCAGCUCUUCUCUUAAUGUUGAUGGUUAACUAUUUACAGGCAAAAAGGAGUUUAACACAGGUGAAAAAGAGUUUCCUUCCAAAGAAGAUCUAUAAAUAGCUAAGAAGCACAGGAAAACAUGUUUAACAUCACUAGCCAUCUGGGAACCGGAAAUCAAUAUUGCAAUCAGAUAUCGCUUCACACCUGCUAGGAUGGCUAUUAUCAAAAAGACAGUAACAAAUAGUAGCGAGGACGUGAAACAACUGGAACCCUCAUAAACUGCUGAUGGACACGGAAACACUCCGGAAAACGGUCUGGAAGUUCCACAAACAGUUAAACAUAGAGUUACCAUAUGGCCCCACAAUUCUACUCUUAUAUACCCAAGAGAGAUGAAAACAUAUGUCCACAUGAAGACUCGUACAUGGAUGCUCAGCGCAGCAGUGGUCAUGACAGCCAAAGAGUGGAAACAACCAGGCGUCCAUCAGCUAACAUCUGAGUAAAUACAUCGAGUAAACGAGUAAAUACAAUGUGGUGUAUCCAAGCAAUGGAAUAUUAUCCAGCAGUGAAAAGGAAGCCAGUCGCAAAAGAGCACACACAUUGUAUGAUUCUGUUUAUAUGAAAUGUCCAGAAUGGGCAAAUGUAUUGAGACAGAAAGUAGAUUCCUGGUGGCCUGGGGCUGGGGGAGUGGGAGGAUUGGGAAUGACAGCUAAGGGGUACCGGUUUGUAUUUUUUUUUUGAGACGGAAUUUCGCUCUUGUCCAGGCCGGAGUGCAGUGGUGCAAUCUUGGCUCACUGCAACCUCCACCUCCUGGGUUCAAGCAGUUCUCCUGUCUCAGCCUCCUGUGUAGCUGGGAUUACAGGCAUGUACAACCACGCUUGGCUAACUUUUGUAUUUUUAGUAGAGACGGGUUUUCACCAUGUUGGCCAGGGUGGCCUCGAACUCCUGUCCUCAGGUGAUCCACCCGCCUCGGCCUCCCACAGUGCUGGGAUUACAGGUGUGAGCCACCGCGCCUGGCCGAGGUACUGGGUUACUGUGGUGGAGGGUAUUGAAAAUAUUUUAAGCUUGAUAGUGGUGAUGGAUGCAUGACUCUGUGAAUAUACUACAAACCAGAAAGUGUACACUGUAAAUGGGUGAAUCGUAUGUGAAUUAUAUCUCAAUAAAACUGUUUUUCAAAAAAGGAAGUUGUUUCUCCCUGGCAGACCUUUUGUGGGAUAGCAGGGGACGAGAAGGCUGAGCCUGGGGCCGGGUGAGGCGGUGACAGUGGGCAGAUGAGAGCCUGAGCCGAAAUCUGGGUCUUUGGAUCCAGUCAUGUAUCCCUGGGCCCGUGGGUUCAGAUCCAGAGACUCGGGGAGGGCGUGGGAGGCGUGGGAGGCGUGGGAGGGAUAAGAACCCCAAGCCAGGACCGGGCGUGGUGGCUCAUGCCUGUAAU
rnacentral:lncRNA from 1 species